AAAGCCUAACAUGUAUGCUUUAAUAAAAGCGGUGUAUUCUCUUUGAAGUCCACAAAGCAGAAAGUGCCUUGGUUUUACAUGGUACUUGACGUACACCUCUAUCAAAGCAGCAUUCUCAAAAAGGCCUGCCUGGGUACUGACAGAUAUAGUACACCCUGGCUUAACUCUGAGCUGAAUUUGAGCUGUGACCUUCUGACCGUAAGCCAAGAGUGCUACCUAACCAGAUGUCAACACUUUAAUUAACUAUUGGAUCUACGUUUCCACAACUGUAAAGGGAAACCAGAAUAAAGUAGUGUUUAAUGAUUAAUGAACAUGCUGUUUUUGCGAUUGUCAAACAAUAGCACUGCAAGAUGCAAGGUUGGUCUGACUGAAGACGCAGGGCUCAAAAGAGGAAAAGACGGUAUCUAUCACCGCCCCCGCAAAAGUUGAAUACAAUUUCCCUGCAGGAGUACAGAACUUUUUUUUGUGUGUGUGUUGUGGGCACAGUAAUAAUCGUACAUAGAACCGAAGAUUGAAACACUGGGAGGAUUCAGGGACCAUCACUUUAUGGUCUGAUAUCAAUGGACCUUUUUUUUACCUUUUUUAUUUUUGUAAAAUCGAAUGUUUUUGAAUGGGGUGAUAAUAAAACAAAACACUGUAAAAUAUCCUCAGGGAUAAAGAAAAUGUCACUAGGAUUGAUUGAGGUCAAAAGAUACAUCCUUAGGGUGCUGGACUACAGUGUUGAACCAGAUCUGGCUGAACAUCACAUUAAUAAAUACUGUAGUUGCUGUCUCUGGUUACAGAGUUGUGUCUCCAGAGAUACAAAAGAUGAGCCUCCACUUUCACACCAACUUUGAGGAUGCAAUAUUUGCUGAAACAGAACUGUACCAGAGGCCGAAAAGCCAGAAUAGACAGGACAUAUAAACUAGAAAGGAAGGAUGGAGAAGUCAUCAAAAGGGGAGACAAAAUUGGCAACAACUGAGGUUAGCUCACCGCCACCACCCCAGAGCUGACUCGGGAGCGGCGAAAACGAACACAUGCUGUCCUCCGAAGUGUGUGCCGUUAGCCACCCACUGUUUUACACA